GAUCUCUCUGUGAUGGCCAAAAGCCACUGAGUUUAUGUGAGUAGACAUUGAGAAGGAAGGACUGGGGCCUUCUUUUAAAGGCAGGAGUUACACUAUUCACAUUUGAAGGCAGAUCUACCUGAACAUCCAAAGGAUGCUAUGAAAACAAGCAAAAGGGGAAGCAUGCUUCAACUUGACUAUGAAAUGCCCCUAGAAGCUCAUGUAGUGGAGGCUCGAUCCAGGUCUCCUGGCACUAGUCUAACACAUCGGGAACUUUCAGAGAUGGAAGAUGGAAUGGAAAAACAAAACAACAAAAAACAGCACUUAAAGAUUCCCUUCUGGAAGGUAUUCUGUGGGUUAGGUGGUUAUCUCUCUGACUGCAGAAGCAGACAAUCAAAUGGUUGGAAGAGCAGUUGAAGAUGGGCUUGAAUUAAGACUCUAUGUAUGCUUGCUUACGUGUGGAAGGACUGUUAAACAAGAGACCAAAUUGAUUACUCAGGGCUUCCUUUUGUGGGUCUAGAAAGAAGAGGAAUUGGUUGCUAAACAGAAUGAGGGUGGUUUUCUGUUUUGAUUGAUAGGCUUCAGUUUUGUAAGCCUUUGCUCACUAAGCAUAUAAUUUCCCAUGAUGCAUCUGGUUUUAGUUAUAUGCACACUCAAUGAUGCAUAGGCAAAAGAUGAUAAAUAGGACUUUCUAUCCACUACAGAGAGAUUUAUAUGUCACAAUCUGGGGGUGACACUGCAUGAGCAUGGAUGGGGAUGUGGAGGAGGGCCUC